rnacentral:rRNA from 1 species
GGUUAAGUUAGAAAGGGCGCACGGUGGAUGCCUUGGCACUAGGAGCCGAUGAAGGACGGGACGAACACCGAUAUGCUUCGGGGAGCUGUAAGCAAGCUUUGAUCCGGAGAUUUCCGAAUGGGGAAACCCACCACUCGUAAUGGAGUGGUAUCCAUAUCUGAAUUCAUAGGAUAUGAGAAGGCAGACCCGGGGAACUGAAACAUCUAAGUACCCGGAGGAAGAGAAAGCAAAUGCGAUUCCCUGAGUAGCGGCGAGCGAAACGGGAUUAGCCCAAACCAAGAGGCUUGCCUCUUGGGGUUGUAGGACACUCUGUACGGAGUUACAAAAGAACGAGGUAGAUGAAGAGGUCUGGAAAGGCCCGCCAUAGGAGGUAACAGCCCUGUAGUCAAAACUUCGUUCUCUCCUGAGUGGAUCCUGAGUACGGCGGAACACGUGAAAUUCCGUCGGAAUCCGGGAGGACCAUCUCCCAAGGCUAAAUACUCCCUAGUGACCGAUAGUGAACCAGUACCGUGAGGGAAAGGUGAAAAGCACCCCGGAAGGGGAGUGAAAGAGAUCCUGAAACCGUGUGCCUACAAGUAGUCAGAGCCCGUUAACGGGUGAUGGCGUGCCUUUUGUAGAAUGAACCGGCGAGUUACGAUCCCGUGCAAGGUUAAGCAGAAGAUGCGGAGCCGCAGCGAAAGCGAGUCUGAAUAGGGCGCAUGAGUACGUGGUCGUAGACCCGAAACCAGGUGAUCUACCCAUGUCCAGGGUGAAGUUCAGGUAACACUGAAUGGAGGCCCGAACCCACGCACGUUGAAAAGUGCGGGGAUGAGGUGUGGGUAGGGGUGAAAUGCCAAUCGAACCUGGAGAUAGCUGGUUCUCUCCGAAAUAGCUUUAGGGCUAGCCUCAAGGUAAGAGUCUUGGAGGUAGAGCACUGAUUGGACUAGGGGCCCCUACCGGGUUACCGAAUUCAGUCAAACUCCGAAUGCCAAUGACUUAUCCUUGGGAGUCAGACUGCGAGUGAUAAGAUCCGUAGUCGAAAGGGAAACAGCCCAGACCGCCAGCUAAGGUCCCAAAGUAUACGUUAAGUGGAAAAGGAUGUGGAGUUGCUUAGACAACCAGGAUGUUGGCUUAGAAGCAGCCACCAUUUAAAGAGUGCGUAAUAGCUCACUGGUCGAGUGACUCUGCGCCGAAAAUGUACCGGGGCUAAACGUAUCACCGAAGCUGCGGACUGUUCUUCGAACAGUGGUAGGAGAGCGUUCUAAGGGCUGUGAAGCCAGACCGGAAGGACUGGUGGAGCGCUUAGAAGUGAGAAUGCCGGUAUGAGUAGCGAAAGAGGGGUGAGAAUCCCCUCCACCGAAUGCCUAAGGUUUCCUGAGGAAGGCUCGUCCGCUCAGGGUUAGUCGGGACCUAAGCCGAGGCCGAAAGGCGUAGGCGAUGGACAACAGGUUGAUAUUCCUGUACCACCUCCUCACCAUUUGAGNNNNNNNNNNNNNNNNNNNNNNNNNNNNNNNNNNNNAAGGCUGAGCUGUGAUGGCGAGCGAAAUAUAGUAGCGAAGUUCCUGAUUCCACACUGCCAAGAAAAGCCUCUAGCGAGGUGAGAGGUGCCCGUACCGCAAACCGACACAGGUAGGCGAGGAGAGAAUCCUAAGGUGAUCGAGAGAACUCUCGUUAAGGAACUCGGCAAAAUGACCCCGUAACUUCGGGAGAAGGGGUGCUCUGUUAGGGUGCAAGCCCGAGAGAGCCGCAGUGAAUAGGCCCAGGCGACUGUUUAGCAAAAACACAGGUCUCUGCGAAGCCGUAAGGCGAAGUAUAGGGGCUGACGCCUGCCCGGUGCUGGAAGGUUAAGAGGAGCGCUUAGCGUAAGCGAAGGUGCGAAUUGAAGCCCCAGUAAACGGCGGCCGUAACUAUAACGGUCCUAAGGUAGCGAAAUUCCUUGUCGGGUAAGUUCCGACCCGCACGAAAGGCGCAACGAUCUGGGCACUGUCUCAACGAGAGACUCGGUGAAAUUAUAGUACCUGUGAAGAUGCAGGUUACCCGCGACAGGACGGAAAGACCCCGUGGAGCUUUACUGCAGCCUGAUAUUGAAUGUUGGUACAGCUUGUACAGGAUAGGUAGGAGCCUUGGAAACCGGAGCGCCAGCUUCGGUGGAGGCAUCGGUGGGAUACUACCCUGGCUGUAUUGACCUUCUAACCCGCCGCCCUUAUCGGGCGGGGAGACAGUGUCAGGUGGGCAGUUUGACUGGGGCGGUCGCCUCCUAAAAGGUAACGGAGGCGCCCAAAGGUUCCCUCAGAAUGGUUGGAAAUCAUUCGCAGAGUGUAAAGGCACAAGGGAGCUUGACUGCGAGACCUACAAGUCGAGCAGGGACGAAAGUCGGGCUUAGUGAUCCGGUGGUUCCGCAUGGAAGGGCCAUCGCUCAACGGAUAAAAGCUACCCCGGGGAUAACAGGCUUAUCUCCCCCAAGAGUCCACAUCGACGGGGAGGUUUGGCACCUCGAUGUCGGCUCAUCGCAUCCUGGGGCUGUAGUCGGUCCCAAGGGUUGGGCUGUUCGCCCAUUAAAGCGGUACGCGAGCUGGGUUCAGAACGUCGUGAGACAGUUCGGUCCCUAUCCGUCGCGGGCGCAGGAAAUUUGAGAGGAGCUGUCCUUAGUACGAGAGGACCGGGAUGGACGCACCGCUGGUGUACCAGUUGUUCUGCCAAGGGCAUCGCUGGGUAGCUAUGUGCGGACGGGAUAAGUGCUGAAAGCAUCUAAGCAUGAAGCCCCCCUCAAGAUGAGAUUUCCCAUUCCGCAAGGAAGUAAGAUCCCUGAAAGAUGAUCAGGUUGAUAGGUCUGAGGUGGAAGUGUGGCGACACAUGGAGCUGACAGAUACUAAUCGAUCGAGGACUUAACC